rnacentral:rRNA from 1 species
CCUACGGGUGGCAGCAGUGGGGAAUAUUGGGCAAUGGGCGCAAGCCUGACCCAGCAACGCCGCGUGAAGGAAGAAGGCUUUCGGGUUGUAAACUUCUUUUAAGAUGGAAGUGCAGAAGACGGUACCUCUUGAAUAAUCCACGGCUAACUACGUGCCAGCAGCCGCGGUAAUACGGAGGUGGCAGGCGUUGUCCGGAUUUACUGGGUGUAAAGGGCGUGUAGCCGGGCUGACAAGUCAGAUGUGAAAUUCCGGGGCUCAACCCCGGACCUGCAUUUGAAACUGUUGGUCUUGAGUAUCGGAGAGGCAGGCGGAAUUCCUAGUGUAGCGGUGAAAUGCGUAGAUAUUAGGAGGAACACCAGUGGCGAAGGCGGCCUGCGGGACGACAACUGACGGUGAGGCGCGAAAGCGUGGGGAGCAAACAGGAUUAGAUACCCGGGUAGUC